AUUGAACGCUAGCGGGAUGCUUUACACAUGCAAGUCGAACGAGUGGCGGACGGGUGAGUAAUAUAUCGGAACGUGCCCAGUAGCGGGGGAUAACUACUCGAAAGAGUGGCAAAUAACACAUCCUAUGGGAGCGGCCGCUAUCGGUUUAGCUAGUUGGUGGGGUAAAGGCUCACACAGGCAACGAUCGGUCGCUGGUUUGAGAGGACGACCGGGCACAGUGGUAAGUGGAAACGGCCCAUGCUCCUACGUGAGUCAGCAGUGGGGAAUUUUGGACAAUGGGGGAAACCCGGAUCCAGCCAUCCCGCGUGUAUGAGAAGGCCUUCGGGUUGUAAAGUACUUUUGGCAGAGAAGCGGUAUCUGCAGAAUAAGCACCGGCUAACUACGUGCCAGCAGCCGGGGUAAUUC
rnacentral:rRNA from 1 species